GAUGAACGCUGGCGGCGUGCCUAAUACAUGCAAGUCGAGCGAACGGACGAGAAGCUUGCUUUUCUGAUGUUAGCGGCGGACGGGUGAGUAACACGUGGAUAACCUACCUAUAAGACUGGGAUAACUUCGGGAAACCGGAGCUAAUACCGGAUAAUAUUUUGAACCGCAUGGGUCAAAAGUGAAAGACGGUCUUGCUGUCACUUAUAGAUGGAUCCGCGCUGCAUUAGCUAGUUGUUAAGGUAACGGCUUACCAAGGCAACGAUGCAUAGACGACCUGAGAGGGUGAUCGGCCACACUAGAACUGAGACACGGUCCAGACUCCUACGGGAGGCAGCAGUAGGGAAUCUUCCGCAAUGGGCGAAAGCCUGACGGAGCAACGCCGCGUGAGUGAUGAAGGUCUUCGGAUCGUAAAACUCUGUUAUUAGGGAAGAACAUAUGUGUAAGUAACUGUGCACAUCUUGACGGUACCUAAUCAGAAAGCCACGGCUAACUACGUG
rnacentral:rRNA from 1 species